UGGAUCCAGAACUUUGAUCAUGGCUCAGGACGAACGCUGGCGGCGUGCUUAACACAUGCAAGUCAAACGGAGAACUUAUUUCGGUAAGUUCUUAGUGGCGAACGGGUGAGUAACGCGUGGGCAACCUGCCCUCCAGUUGGGGGCAACAUUCCGAAAGGGAUGCUAAUACCGAAUGUGCUCCCUCCUCCGCAUGGAGGAGGGAGGAAAGAUGGCCUCUGCUUGCAAGCUAUCGCUGGAGGAUGGGCCCGCGUCUGAUUAGCUAGUUGGUGGGGUAACGGCUCACCAAGGCGAUGAUCAGUAGCCGGUCUGAGAGGAUGAACGGCCACAUUGGGACUGAGACACGGCCCAAACUCCUACGGGAGGCAGCAGUGGGGAAUCUUCCGCAAUGGACGAAAGUCUGACGGAGCAACGCCGCGUGAGUGAUGAAGGUCUUCGGAUUGUAAAACUCUGUUGUUAGGGACGAAUGCACCGUGUUCGAACAGGUCAUGGUGUUGACGGUACCUAACGAGGAAGCCACAGCUAACUACGUGCCAGCAGCCGCGGUAAUACGUAGGUGGCAAGCGUUGUCCGGAAUUAUUGGGCGUAAAGAGCAUGUAGGCGGGCUUUUAAGUCUGACGUGAAAAUGCGGGGCUUAACCCCGUAUGGCGUUGGAUACUGGAAGUCUUGAGUGCAGGAGAGGAAAGGGGAAUUCCCAGUGUAGCGGUGAAAUGCGUAGAUAUUGGGAGGAACACCAGUGGCGAAGGCGCCUUUCUGGACUGUGUCUGACGCUGAGAUGCGAAAGCCAGGGUAGCAAACGGGAUUAGAUACCCCGGUAGUCCUGGCCGUAAACGAUGGAUACUAGGUGUAGGAGGUAUCGACCCCUUCUGUGCCGGAGUUAACGCAAUAAGUAUCCCGCCUGGGGACUACGAUCGCAAGAUUGCAACUCAAAGGAAUUGACGGA
rnacentral:rRNA from 2 species